ensembl:snRNA U6 U6 spliceosomal RNA
GUACUCGCUUCAGGAGCACAUAUACUAAAAUUGGAACGAUACAGAGAAGAUUAGCAUGGCCCCUGCACCAGGAUGAUACACAAAUUUGUGAAGUGUUUCAUAUUUUG